UAAAAUCCAGGAGCGUGGUAUGGCUACCA
rnacentral:piRNA from 1 species